CAGCCUUCGGAGUAGCUGGGACUACAGGCGCCCGCCAUCACGCCUGGCUAAUUUUUUGUAUUUUUAUUGGAGACGGAGUUUCACCGUGUUAGCCAGGAUUGUCUCGAUCUCCUGACCUCAUGAUCCGCCCGCCUCGACCUCCCAAAGUGCUGGGAUUAAGGCAGAAAAUGGCCAAUCCACACUGAGUUAGUAUGUAAGCAAUAUCAUAAUUGCAGCAGAAUGAUGAAUAAAUACUUCCAUUGAGGAUAAAGAUGGAGCACCUUCUGAAGUUUGUCAAUAAGAAAAUUUCAAUACAGAUAAAUGUAAUUUCCAAAUAUGUUAUUAGGAUCUUACAUAAUGUUUGAGAAUACCGCAUGCUCUUCUAUGAAUAAUAGAG
rnacentral:lncRNA from 10 species